rnacentral:lncRNA from 1 species
GGUGCUGAGAUGGGGGGGUGAGGGGAAGUUUUCUGUAGUCCUAUGAUUAGGUCUCAGUAUUUUAGUGAGCCUAUGCCUAUGGACUGUGAGCUUCGCAUGGGCUUCUCGUUCUUCUUUCCUUAUGUGGGGCAGGAUGACUAGAAUGGGCUUCAGUUGGGUAUUUCCCUUUCCCUAAGUCAGUUAGGCUCUGAUAAAACCCCAGCAGGUAAGGCUCUAGUUACACAGUUACACCUGUGGGCAGACGUUAAGAAGAACAGUGCUGAGAUAUUUCAAAAUGGUUCCUUUUCCUCUCUCCCUGCUGGAAGCUUGAGGAUUUUUCUCCCAUAUUUACUGUGAGAAUCUGGCUGAGCUCCUGGAGGUGAAACUCACAGUAGUGUGGUGGGCCCACCUAUGACUGGAUCCUCUUGGAGUUUUUAAUUCUUGGACUUGUCCACAGUGAACCUCCAGCAAUUUGUCAGUUACAGUUGAAGUUUUCCUCUCCCGGGACCAGUUCUGGAGGAGGUUUCAGCUCUUGAGUUUUGCUUGGACAGAGUGGUGACUUCCAAGCUCCUCACAUGCCAAACUCAAAUGCUUGGGCCAAUUUUAACAAUUUUUAGGCCUAUGCUGAGCAAGGAACUAUUAUUAGUGUUGGUGAUACCAAAAUUUGAAGACAAAAUUGCCUGUCACUGUGGAGCUUCCACUAUGUAAAACUGUCAAUGCUGUGCUAAAUGCCACCUUUAGUAGGAACCGUCUGCCCAGCCCAUACCUAGAACCUCAGACUUGCCUGAAAUUGGCCCUUCCUACAGGACAUUGCUGCUGUGGGGUGUUGUCCUCCUUUCUGUGACAUUUCUCUUGUCUGUGAUUUUUUUUCUGCUAAAUUCCUAUUGCCUCAACAGUUUGUCGAUGUCUUCGAACAGUGUUUCUGUUUUGUAUUUUAUAUGGAUUUUCUACUUGUGCUGGUGGAAGAAUUAAUCUCCCAAAAGGGACUCAGUCUCAUCAUGUGAUAUACUGUUAAAUAUCAGAAAGAAGAGAGCCAAUUCUAUAAAUGUUGGUCUGAAGACACGCAUACACACACUCGCAAAUACUCUAAACAUACAUGCAAUUAUUAAGAUGAGUGCUGUUCAUUUUUAUUCUAGAAGUGAUAUUUUUAAUUUUAACUUUGUUGAAUAUUAUGUUCCUGUAGUUUCCAAAAUUUCAGACAAUGAAAAUGGAAAGCCAUCCUCAGCAGAAGUAAAUUUAAAUAGUAAAGGAGUAUGUUUUAUUAUGAGACGCAUGGGCACUAUGGAAAUUAGAUGACAUAAUAUAUUUAUUUGGAGUUUUUAAUUUUUUUUUUUUUUUGGUGAGGAAGAUUCACCCUGAGCUAACAUCCUUUGCCAAUCAUCGUCUUUUUUUUUGCUUGAGGAAGAUAUGCCCUGAGCUGACAUCUUGCCAACCCUCCUCUAUUUUGUAUGUGGGAUGCCACCACAGCAUGGCUGAUGAGUGGAGGAGGUCCGUGCCUAGGAUCCAAAACCACAAACCCAGGCUGCCGAAGUGGAACACAUGGAACUUUAACCACUUAGCCAUGGGGAUGGCCCCUAAAUUAUUCUUGUAUAAUGCAAGGACAAAAAUAUAUUUAAUGAUGGUAAAACAUUUUGUUUUAAUCUAUCAAAAAUAGCUUUAGAUAUUAUGUAACAUUUUAGAUAGUGACUUCAUUGUAACGUGUUAUUUUUUCAUAAAUAAAAGUUUUAUUAUUAACUAGAGUGAGCAUGGCUUUCUAAAGAUCAUGUUGGUUAUCUUUGGUUUUCCUGGGAGGAAAAGGACUCUGUGCCCCUGGUAUUUUAGAUAAUAGAUUUUUGGCUAUGAACAGUUGAAUUACUUACGAGAUUGCUUUUUAAAUAAUACAUGAGUUUGAAUCCUAUGAUAACAUUUUCAAAAGAUAAUUAUUUGAUAAAGGAAUGGAUUUGAAGGCAUGUAAGAAUCUUGUGACUCCUUGUGUUCUAAACAUUGUAAGUGCCUGUCUCAAGAGCUUGUAAAAUGAGUAUGCUUUGUUGGUUGAUGUUCAUUGGUUUGUGGUUAUUUUAACUGAAAUUGACAGUAAUAUACUGUCUGUGUGUAUAUACUAUAUAUACAUGUGUGUGUAUAUACAGUGUAUAUAUGCAUUGUAUAUAUACAAUUGUAUAUACGUUGUGGCUGUUUCAGUUUCAAUCAUGCAAAGAUCAACAACAAGCAAUCUAUCUUCAGAAUAUUUAGUUUCUAUGAAAGGUAGUGGCAGAAAGAUUAUGUUGAUUAUUUUAAAGCUGUCUGUUUUUAUUUGAGAGAAAUUUAAACUGUCUGCAUCCUGUAUUAAGAUGUCUUUAUAAGUUUUCAACUUUUGAUGGAAGAACACAGUUAAAUAAUAUGAUUUAGCUUGUUUUAAACUAUUGGGUUUAUAAAUAUUGUUACCCGGGUAAUGAUUCCAUUUAAUAAAAACAUUCUUUGAGUGAAUUAGAUCUGAGACAUUAAAAAGUUCAGUUAAUAAUAACCUACACAGCGGAUGCAAAACAGAAGUAACCUUUGCUUAUUAGAAGGUCUGCCUUCAUUUUUUUUUAUAGGAGAGAGUAGCUUUAAUGGAUGUGCAAAAUGCAGAGUAAUCAGAGAAGUAAAUUAGGUCAAAAUAACUAAAUGAGGAUUUUG